rnacentral:rRNA from 1 species
AUUGAACGCUGGCGGCAUGCCUUACACAUGCAAGUCGAACGGCAGCACGGGGCAACCUGGUGCCGGCGGGUGGCGAACGGGUGAGUAAUGCAUCGGAACGUACCUUUCAGUGGGGGAUAACGUAGCGAAAGUUACGCUAAUACCGCAUAUUCUGUGAGCAGGAAAGCAGGGGAUCGCAAGACCUUGCGCUGAUUGAGCGGCCGAUGUCCGAUUAGCUAGUUGGGGAGGUAAAGGCUCACCAAGGCGACGAUCUGUAGCGGGUCUGAGAGGAUGAUCCGCAACACUGGAACUGAGACACGGUCCAGACUCCUACGGGAGGCAGCAGUGGGGAAUUGUGGACAAUGGGGGCAACCCUGAUCCAGCCAUGCCGCGUGAGUGAAGAAGGCCUUCGGGUUGUAAAGCUCUUUCGGCCGGGAAGAAAUCGCACGGGCUAAUACCCUGUGUGGAUGACGGUACCGGAAUAAGAAGCACCGGCUAACUACGUGCCAGCCGCCGCAGUAAGAC